GCGAUAAAGAGCAUUGCUGUAUUUGCAGGGAAAUAACCAGUUAGUCAUUUUCAUUAAAAUGGUCACCCCUGGGUGGCAGUAUAGGAAUACAUGGACAAAAUGAAAUCAUAUUAGCUUCCUUUUCUGGAUAUGGAAAAACAGAUAUCAUAGCACAGUGGACUCUUGCUAAACUUCAUAGCAGGACCUGUAAACCUUAUCUAGGAGGCUUGGCAGGCUGCAAAGUCCAUGUGCUGUUACAGACCGAGACCCUUAUUUUCUUUGGUCUCCAUUUGCUCAUCUGUAAAAAUAUGGGUAUAAUAGUAGGAUUGUUAGGAGGGUUAAAUAUAAUGUUUAGAAUACCCUCCUGCAUAUUAAAUGUGCAUUUUUUUCUCCAGCAAGGUUGCUAUGAGCAUCUUAGCACAUCUCUUGAAGAGGAAGCUAGGGAAUAAGAAGAGUGGGUGUGGGGAGCCCUGGGGACCUUUAGACAGUGGAGUUGCUUGACUUCUGGAGGUUAGUGCAGCCUGCAUGGGGGAUCUAGACCAGCGAGGAAUCAUCUCAAAAUAAACCCACAGCACCAAUUAGACCACAAGGGACUAACUGUCAACAGUUAACAGCAUGUGAUCCUGAGAGGCGAUGGAAACAGUGAAUUGCCGGGCCAGGGCCAUCUCCGCCUGGCUGUGGAAGAGGAACGGGAUCCCUUCCUGGACUGCAUAAGCCCCAGGUUUGUUGGAAACCAAGAUCAAACAACUAAGAGAGUCAAAGCUGAGACUGUGCCCUUUUCACUCCACCAGACCAGCCACCUUUCAAGGGCCUGUGCCUGUGGUAACUGUCUAUGAGCCAGGUAUAUCUGAAGCAUAUUUGACAACAGAAAAAGUUAAUGUAAUUUUCAAAGGAAAAACGCCAACUUUUUUCAAAAAGGAAACAGCAACUGGAGAGCAGAUUUGCAAACCAGAAAAGCAACUCAUGAAUACAAAUUGCCUGGAAAGCAUUUAUUACAACAGAAGCUCUGCAAGAUAUACCGGAAAUUGACAGUGGCAUCGAAUUCCCAGCAAGGAAGUUUUCUAAGGACACCAACAGACACCAGCAGAAGACAGCCUUGCAUUUACAACAAACCAUUGAUCCACAACAAACCAUUGAUCCACACUUUCAAAAUCAUUGAGGUGAAGCAUAGAGAACUGGAGUGGAGACGGCUCUGGCAAAUCCAAACAAUAUCAAAAGCACUCUCAUACUGAAAACCCACAGUGCUGAACCACAGCUGAGAUGUAAAAUAUUUCACAAAAUCUUCUUCACCCUCUAUAGUAUUUCACCUGAGAGUGCAUGAUUUAAGUUGCAAGCACUGUCAUAGAUGAUGGGAUUCAGAGAUGAACACAUGGAAAUGGACUUUAUGUUCUCUAAUGUCACAAAGAAAGAGUGAUUAUGAAGAAGACCCAGAUUCCCACCUAUUAAUCUGAGCUUUGAAUUCUUUACUUUGCUGGGUCCACCGGAUUUUUUCUCCACUCAGCCCAUCGAUGAGAGUGGAGGCGGCCUGCAUCUUUUUCCGGCACGUAUCAGCGUCAUUAAGCAAAUCCUGCAGCCAUAAUGGGAGAAUGUCUCAAAAAACUUUUCUAAGUGCUUAACACAAACAUCCAUUAUAUUCACACAUAAAAAUACAUGGGGGAAUUUCUUACUUUGCAAAAUAAUAUAACCUAAAAAUACAGUGUGCAUUGAAACUUCACAUAUUAAAUUUUGAUCAUUCAUAAUAUAGUGAUUUUACCUUAUAAAAUUUCAAGGAAAGCAAUUUUGUAAGACAGAAUCCAAAUCACAUAAUUUAUCUUUUAAUCAGACAAAUUACAAUAGUAUUUCUAUUGAAUAUUUUCAAAACAGAAUCAAAUCAAUAAGAUUUGCCAUUUUGAUGUCUUGGAUGCAGUAAUAAUCCCGAGUUCUUUGUCAUUUACAAAGUAUUUUCUCCUGGAAAAAUCCCAGACAACAAUAGCAUGUAGCAGCCGGCUUGUAUCAACUCUUAAGAGCCAAUUGUUAAAUUUUUAGAGUAUUUGUGAGCUGGUGCUAAACACAGCCUUUAUUAAAAAUUAAACUAUGUAAGCUUACAAUUAAAAAAUUAUAUUAAAAGCAAAAGUAAUAAAUAACAAAAGCUUACUUCCUAAUUAUUUAAAUGUUAAUAUUAUCUAUGGUUUUGAGGUUAAGACCGUUGUAUCUGGAUGGUGGAAAUAGUAUGCGAUGGGGUACUGCCAUGCACCUUUUCCCAAAUCUGUGCUCAGUGACGUUACAUUGGAGUUUAAAAUUGCCAGUGAUGGGAGUAUUUACACCACAGAAAUCAGCAAAUAUUACAAAUCCGGACUUUCCUCUCCCCACACUGCACACUAGAUUGUUAACAUUUACCAGACCACCACUGCUUACAACCUAUCCCAAGAGGUUAUAUUAGGAUCCCCAUUUUACAAACAGAGCUAGGUAGAUUGCCCCUGUCAGGUCUCUGAGCCAAAGCUAAGCCAUCAUAUCCCCUGUGACCUGCAUGUACACAUCCAGAUGGCCGGUUCCUGCCUUAACUGAUGACAUUCCACCACAAAAGAAGUGAAAAUGGCCUGUUCCUGCCUUAACUGAUGACAUUACCUUGUGAAAUUCCUUUUCCUGGCUCAUCCUAGCUCAAAAGCUCCCCCACUGAGCACCUUGUGACCCCCACCCCUGCCCGCCAGAGAACAACUCCCUUUGACUGUAAUUUUCCUUUACCUACCUAAAUCCUAUAAAACGGCCCCACCCCUGUCUCCCUUCGCUGACUCUUUUCGGACUCAGCUCGCCUGCACCCAGGUGAAAUAAACAGCCUUGUUGCUCACACAAAGCCUGUUUGGUGGUCUCUUCACAUGGACGCGCGUGAAAGCCCCAAACCACACAAUUAACAAGUGUCUGAGCUGCAUCUCAAACCCAGUUUUCUA
rnacentral:lncRNA from 1 species